AUCUCAGUAGCUUAAUAGGUUAAAGCACAUGGCUGUUAACUAUGCAGAUGCACGUUCGAAUCGUGCCUGGGAUA
rnacentral:tRNA from 1 species